GUGGAAACCGGAGCUAAUACCGGAUAAUAUAUUGAACCGCAUGGUUCAAUAGUGAAAGACGGUUUUGCUGUCACUUAUAGAUGGAUCCGCGCCGCAUUAGCUAGUUGGUAAGGUAACGGCUUACCAAGGCAACGAUGCGUAGCCGACCUGAGAGGGUGAUCGGCCACACUGGAACUGAGACACGGUCCAG
rnacentral:rRNA from 1 species